UACAGAGGGUGCGAGCGUUAAUCGGAAUUACUGGGCGUAAAGCGCACGUAGGCGGUCUUGGUAUGUCGGGUGUGAAAUCCCCGGGCUCAACCUGGGAACUGCAUCCGAAACUGCCUUGCUAAGAGUAUGGGAGAGGGAAGUGGAAUUUCCGGUGUAGCGGUGAAAUGCGUAGAUAUCGGAAAGGAACUCAGUGGCGAAGGCGACUUCCUGGACCAAUACUGACGCUCAGGUGCGAA
rnacentral:rRNA from 1 species